UUAAGCGACUAAGCGUACACGGUGGAUGCCCUGGCAGUCAGAGGCGAUGAAGGACGUGCUAAUCUGCGAUAAGCGUCGGUAAGGUGAUAUGAACCGUUAUAACCGGCGAUUUCCGAAUGGGGAAACCCAGUGUGAUUCGUCACACUAUCAUUAACUGAAUCCAUAGGUUAAUGAGGCGAACCGGGGGAACUGAAACAUCUAAGUACCCCGAGGAAAAGAAAUCAACCGAGAUUCCCCCAGUAGCGGCGAGCGAACGGGGAGCAGCCCAGAGCCUGAAUCAGUGUGUGUGUUAGUGGAAGCGUCUGGAAAGGCGCGCGAUACAGGGUGACAGCCCCGUACACAAAAAUGCACAUGCUGUGAGCUCGAUGAGUAGGGCGGGACACGUGGUAUCCUGUCUGAAUAUGGGGGGACCAUCCUCCAAGGCUAAAUACUCCUGACUGACCGAUAGUGAACCAGUACCGUGAGGGAAAGGCGAAAAGAACCCCGGCGAGGGGAGUGAAAAAGAACCUGAAACCGUGUACGUACAAGCAGUGGGAGCACGCUUAGGCGUGUGACUGCGUACCUUUUGUAUAAUGGGUCAGCGACUUAUAUUCUGUAGCAAGGUUAACCGAAUAGGGGAGCCGAAGGGAAACCGAGUCUUAACUGGGCGUUAAGUUGCAGGGUAUAGACCCGAAACCCGGUGAUCUAGCCAUGGGCAGGUUGAAGGUUGGGUAACACUAACUGGAGGACCGAACCGACUAAUGUUGAAAAAUUAGCGGAUGACUUGUGGCUGGGGGUGAAAGGCCAAUCAAACCGGGAGAUAGCUGGUUCUCCCCGAAAGCUAUUUAGGUAGCGCCUCGUGAAUUCAUCUCCGGGGGUAGAGCACUGUUUCGGCAAGGGGGUCAUCCCGACUUACCAACCCGAUGCAAACUGCGAAUACCGGAGAAUGUUAUCACGGGAGACACACGGCGGGUGCUAACGUCCGUCGUGAAGAGGGAAACAACCCAGACCGCCAGCUAAGGUCCCAAAGUCAUGGUUAAGUGGGAAACGAUGUGGGAAGGCCCAGACAGCCAGGAUGUUGGCUUAGAAGCAGCCAUCAUUUAAAGAAAGCGUAAUAGCUCACUGGUCGAGUCGGCCUGCGCGGAAGAUGUAACGGGGCUAAACCAUGCACCGAAGCUGCGGCAGCGACGCUUAUGCGUUGUUGGGUAGGGGAGCGUUCUGUAAGCCUGUGAAGGUGUGCUGUGAGGCAUGCUGGAGGUAUCAGAAGUGCGAAUGCUGACAUAAGUAACGAUAAAGCGGGUGAAAAGCCCGCUCGCCGGAAGACCAAGGGUUCCUGUCCAACGUUAAUCGGGGCAGGGUGAGUCGACCCCUAAGGCGAGGCCGAAAGGCGUAGUCGAUGGGAAACAGGUUAAUAUUCCUGUACUUGGUGUUACUGCGAAGGGGGGACGGAGAAGGCUAUGUUGGCCGGGCGACGGUUGUCCCGGUUUAAGCGUGUAGGCUGGUUUUCCAGGCAAAUCCGGAAAAUCAAGGCUGAGGCGUGAUGACGAGGCACUACGGUGCUGAAGCAACAAAUGCCCUGCUUCCAGGAAAAGCCUCUAAGCAUCAGGUAACAUCAAAUCGUACCCCAAACCGACACAGGUGGUCAGGUAGAGAAUACCAAGGCGCUUGAGAGAACUCGGGUGAAGGAACUAGGCAAAAUGGUGCCGUAACUUCGGGAGAAGGCACGCUGAUAUGUAGGUGAAGUCCCUCGCGGAUGGAGCUGAAAUCAGUCGAAGAUACCAGCUGGCUGCAACUGUUUAUUAAAAACACAGCACUGUGCAAACACGAAAGUGGACGUAUACGGUGUGACGCCUGCCCGGUGCCGGAAGGUUAAUUGAUGGGGUCAGCGCAAGCGAAGCUCUUGAUCGAAGCCCCGGUAAACGGCGGCCGUAACUAUAACGGUCCUAAGGUAGCGAAAUUCCUUGUCGGGUAAGUUCCGACCUGCACGAAUGGCGUAAUGAUGGCCAGGCUGUCUCCACCCGAGACUCAGUGAAAUUGAACUCGCUGUGAAGAUGCAGUGUACCCGCGGCAAGACGGAAAGACCCCGUGAACCUUUACUAUAGCUUGACACUGAACAUUGAGCCUUGAUGUGUAGGAUAGGUGGGAGGCUUUGAAGUGUGGACGCCAGUCUGCAUGGAGCCGACCUUGAAAUACCACCCUUUAAUGUUUGAUGUUCUAACGUUGACCCGUGAUCCGGGUUGCGGACAGUGUCUGGUGGGUAGUUUGACUGGGGCGGUCUCCUCCUAAAGAGUAACGGAGGAGCACGAAGGUUGGCUAAUCCUGGUCGGACAUCAGGAGGUUAGUGCAAUGGCAUAAGCCAGCUUGACUGCGAGCGUGACGGCGCGAGCAGGUGCGAAAGCAGGUCAUAGUGAUCCGGUGGUUCUGAAUGGAAGGGCCAUCGCUCAACGGAUAAAAGGUACUCCGGGGAUAACAGGCUGAUACCGCCCAAGAGUUCAUAUCGACGGCGGUGUUUGGCACCUCGAUGUCGGCUCAUCACAUCCUGGGGCUGAAGUAGGUCCCAAGGGUAUGGCUGUUCGCCAUUUAAAGUGGUACGCGAGCUGGGUUUAGAACGUCGUGAGACAGUUCGGUCCCUAUCUGCCGUGGGCGCUGGAGAACUGAGGGGGGCUGCUCCUAGUACGAGAGGACCGGAGUGGACGCAUCACUGGUGUUCGGGUUGUCAUGCCAAUGGCACUGCCCGGUAGCUAAAUGCGGAAGAGAUAAGUGCUGAAAGCAUCUAAGCACGAAACUUGCCCCGAGAUGAGUUCUCCCUGACCCUUUAAGGGUCCUGAAGGAACGUUGAAGACGACGACGUUGAUAGGCCGGGUGUGUAAGCGCAGCGAUGCGUUGAGCUAACCGGUACUAAUGAACCGUGAGGCUUAACCUU
rnacentral:rRNA from 1 species